rnacentral:rRNA from 1 species
GUAGGAUAGAGGCCUACCAUGGUGGUAACGGGUAACGGGGAAUUAGGGUUCGAUUCCGGAGAGGGAGCCUGAGAAACGGCUACCACAUCCAAGGAAGGCAGCAGGCGCGCAAAUUACCCAAUCCCGACACGGGGAGGUAGUGACAAUAAAUAACAAUACGGGGCUCUUUCGGGUCUCGUAAUUGGAAUGAGUACAAUUUAAAUCCCUUAACGAGGAACAAUUGGAGGGCAAGUCUGGUGCCAGCAGCCGCGGUAAUUCCAGCUCCAAUAGCGUAUAUUAAAGUUGUUGCAGUUAAAAAGCUCGUAGUUGAAUUUCGGGAUUGACACAUCGGUCGUGCCUUAAGGGGUAUGAACUGGUGUAGUCAAUUUCUCACCUUCUGGAGAACCGCGAUGCCCUUAAUUGGGUGUCGCGGGGAACCAGGACCUUUACUUUGAAAAAAUUAGAGUGUUUAAAGCAGGCAUUUUGCUUGAAUACAUUAGCAUGGAAUAAUAAAAUAGGACGGCAUGAUUCUAUUUUGUUGGUUUCUAGGAUCACCGUAAUGAUUAAUAGGGAUAGUUGGGGGCAUUAGUAUUCAAUUGUCAGAGGUGAAAUUCUUGGAUUUAUUGAAGACUAACUACUGCGAAAGCAUUUGCCAAGGAUGUUUUCAUUAAUCAAGAACGAAAGUUAGGGGAUCGAAGACGAUCAGAUACCGUCGUAGUCUUAACCAUAAACUAUGCCGACUAGGAAUCAGACGAUGUUAAUUUUUUAAUGACUCGUUUGGCACCUUACGGGAAACCAAAGUGUUUGGGUUC